UACGGAGGAUGCAAGCGUUAUCCGGAAUGAUUGGGCGUAAAGCGUCCGCAGGUGGCUGUGUAAGUCUGCUGUUAAAGAGUGAGGCUCAACCUCAUAAAAGCAGUGGAAACUACACAGCUAGAGUGCGUUCGGGGCAGAGGGAAUUCCUGGUGUAGCGGUGAAAUGCGUAGAGGUCAGGAAGAACACCGGUGGCGAAGGCGCUCUGCUAGGCCGCAACUGACACUGAGGGACGAAAGCUAGGGGAGCGAAUGGG
rnacentral:rRNA from 1 species